UACGGAGGGUGCAAGCGUUAAUCGGAAUUACUGGGCGUAAAGGGCGCGUAGGCGGCCUGUUAAGCCAGAUGUGAAAGCCCCGGGCUUAACCUGGGAACCGCAUUUGGAACUGGCAGGCUUGAGUGCAGGAGAGGAAGGUAGAAUUCCCGGUGUAGCGGUGAAAUGCGUAGAGAUCGGGAGGAAUACCAGUGGCGAAGGCGGCCUUCUGGACUGACACUGACGCUGAGGCGCGAAAGCGUGGGUAGCAAACAGG
rnacentral:rRNA from 1 species